UUCCACGCUUCCUAGAAAAGCCGCGUACGGAGCCCCUUUGGUGAUCGUACUGCAAACCGACUCAGGUGGACGGGGUGAAUAUCCCAAGGCGCGUGAGAGAACCCUGGUUAAGGAACUCUGCAAAUUGACACCGUAACUUCGGGAGAAGGUGUGCCGCUGGCGGUUAGUGACUUCGCGUCACGAAGCUGUCGGUGGUCGCAGUGAAAUGGCGGUUGUGACUGUUUACUAAAAACACAGGACUCUGCGAAGUCGUAAGACGACGUAUAGGGUCUGAUGCCUGCCCGGUGCUGGAAGGUUAAGGGGAUAUGUCAGCGCAAGCGAAGCAUUGAACCGAAGCCCCAGUAAACGGCGGCCGUAACAAUAACGGUCCUAAGGUAGCGAAAUUCCUUGUCGGGUAAGUUCCGACCUGCACGAGGGCAUAACAACAUCCGCACUGUCUCGACCAGGGACUCAGCGAAAUUACAUUGGGGGUGAAGAUGCCCUCUACCCGCGGAAAGACGGAAAGACCCCAUGAACCUUUACUGCAACUUGGCAGUGAUUUUCGGGUUCUUCUGCGUAGGAUAGGUGGGAGGCUUUGAAGCCGGGCUUCCGGGUUCGGCAGAGCCAACGUUGAAAUACCACCCUGAAUAAUCUGGAAAUCUAACCUGCGCCCAUGAUCUGGGCGAGGGACACUGCCUGGUGGGCAGUUUGACUGGGGCGGUCGCCUCCUAAAUUGUAACGGAGGCGUGCGACGGUUCCCUCAGGCUGAUUGGAAACCAGCCGUAGAGUGCAAACGCAUAAGGGAGCUUUACUGCGAGACUGACAAGUCGAACAGUUGCGAAAGCAGGUGUUAGUGAUCCGGUGGUACCACAUGGAAGGGCCAUCGCUCAUCGGAUAAAAGGUACUCUGGGGAUAACAGGCUGAUCGCGCCUGAGAGUUCACAUCGGCGGCGCGGUUUGGCACCUCGGUGUCGGCUCAUCGCAUCCUGGGGCUGGAGCAGGUCCCAAGGGUUUGGCUGUUCGCCAAUUAAAGCGGUACACGAGCUGGGUUUAAAACGUCGUGAGACAGUUUGGUCCCUAUCUUCCGUGGGCGCAGGACACUUGAGAGGAGCUAUCCAUAGUACGAGAGGACCUGGAUGGACGAACCUCUGGUGCUCCGGUUGUCACGCCAGUGGCAUAGCCGGGUAGCCAUGUUCGGAACAGAUAACCGCUGAAGGCAUAUAAGCGGGAAGCUGGCCUCAAGACUAGGUGUCCCUGACGCAAGUCACUAAAGGCCCCUCGAAGACUACGAGGUUGAUAGGCUCGGUGUGGAAGCGCUGCGAGGCGUGGAGCUAACGAGUACUAAUAGGCCGUGCGACUUGACCUG
rnacentral:rRNA from 1 species